UACAGAGGUCUCAAGCGUUGUUCGGAUUCAUUGGGCGUAAAGGGUGCGUAGGUGGCGCGCUAAGUCAGGCGUGAAAUUUCGGAGCUUAACUCCGAAACUGCAUUUGAUACUGGUGUGCUUGAGGACUGGAGAGGAGACUGGAAUUCAUGGUGUAGCAGUGAAAUGCGUAGAUAUUGGGAAGAACACCGGUGGCGAAGGCGGCGACCUGGUCCGUGACUGACGCUGAGGCGCGAAAGCGUGGGGAGCAAACAGG
rnacentral:rRNA from 1 species